rnacentral:rRNA from 1 species
GAGUUUGAUCCUGGCUCAGGAUGAACGCUAGCUACAGGCUUAACACAUGCAAGUCGAGGGGCAGCAUGGUCUUAGCUUGCUAAGGCCGAUGGCGACCGGCGCACGGGUGAGUAACACGUAUCCAACCUGCCGUCUACUCUUGGACAGCCUUCUGAAAGGAAGAUUAAUACAAGAUGGCAUCAUGAGUCCGCAUGUUCACAUGAUUAAAGGUAUUCCGGUAGACGAUGGGGAUGCGUUCCAUUAGAUAGUAGGCGGGGUAACGGCCCACCUAGUCUUCGAUGGAUAGGGGUUCUGAGAGGAAGGUCCCCCACAUUGGAACUGAGACACGGUCCAAACUCCUACGGGAGGCAGCAGUGAGGAAUAUUGGUCAAUGGGCGAGAGUCUGAACCAGCCAAGUAGCGUGAAGGAUGACUGCCCUAUGGGUUGUAAACUUCUUUUAUAAAGGAAUAAAGUCGGGUAUGCAUACCCGUUUGCAUGUACUUUAUGAAUAAGGAUCGGCUAACUCCGUGCCAGCAGCCGCGGUAAUACGGAGGAUCCGAGCGUUAUCCGGAUUUAUUGGGUUUAAAGGGAGCGU